rnacentral:rRNA from 1 species
GACGAACGCUGGCGGCGUGCUUAACACAUGCAAGUCGAACGGAAAGGCCCUGCUUUUGUGGGGUGCUCGAGUGGCGAACGGGUGAGUAACACGUGAGUAACCUGCCCUUGACUAUGGGAUAACUUCAGGAAACUGGGGCUAAUACCGGAUAGGAGCUCCUGCUGCAUGGUGGGGGUUGGAAAGUUUCGGCGGUUGGGGAUGGACUCGCGGCUUAUCAGCUUGUUGGUGGGGUAGUGGCUUACCAAGGCUCUGACGGGUAGCCGGCCUGAGAGGGUGACCGGCCACAUUGGGACUGAGAUACGGCCCAGACUCCUACGGGAGGCAGCAGUGGGGAAUAUUGCACAAUGGGCGGAAGCCUGAUGCAGCAACGCCGCGUGCGGGAUGACGGCCUUCGGGUUGUAAACCGCUUUCGCCUGUGACGAAGCGUGAGUGACGGUAAUGGGUAAAGAAGCACCGGCUAACUACGUG